rnacentral:lncRNA from 1 species
GUUGGUUAAGAGAUUUUAAUGCAAUAUAAUUGGUCUUUACAAAAUAAUUUAAUAAUAAAUAUCAAAAUAAAACUUGUCUUUGCGUCAAAGUAAAAUUUACAGUAAAUCUCAUUCAUAUUUAUUGUUAGAAAAUUGAUAUGGGUUAACUAAAUAAGCUAUAUUAAGGAACUUUUAUUACAUUUAAGGAUUCUCUUUCUAAUUCGAAAACGUAGAACUCGUUGUCCACUCGUUGUUGAAUUUUCGAAAAUAGUUGAUAAAGAAUUGAAAGAUAAAGAAAUUCUAUAAACUCGAGAAUGAAGGUAAUCCGACUUUAGCAGCUCGCGUGCCUUGUACGAUAUCGAGUUUAUCGAUUAAUUUUUUGCACAGUAACAGAAUUCGGGCUUUAGCUCUCUAAUGAUACCUUUUUCUGUCAUUAUAAAAGAAAAUGACCAAGUACGAAUCGAAUGAAAAUUGCCAAUAGCAAUUCUUAUUUCUCUAUCGUACAAAACUAUGGAAAAUAAAUCGCAUUUGGAUCUAAAAUUCAAGAAUUUAACUUUAAAAAUCCUGAAUUCUGAAAUUAAAUCAUUGUUGACAAAUGUGGUCACUUCUGUUUUAAUAUUAUUGAUUGGCAACAUACAUUCAGCGAUUAAUUUCCUGCUGUUUUGUUAUAUACUGCUGUAACUAUGCACAAGAUGAUUUUGACCAGCAAUUUUCGUUCGGCUCGUAUUUCGUCAUUUUUACUUGCAAUGAUACAAAAAGUGUCAUUCAAAAAAAAAUAAACCCUAAUAUUUAUUAAUAUGGAAAAAUGAAAUAUGUGUACUUAAGGUGGCUCGAUAUAGUUAUCACAACAUUUUACAAAAACAUUUUACCGAAGAGAACGACAUUUUCGCAUUUUCCGAAAAAAUAGCAUUACAAAAUUUUUUUAUAUUUUGCUAAUUGUUAGCUUUUCGUCCAAGUACAAUAAUGCACGAAAAAAAAUGGGGGUCACCAUGCUUCUUUUCCAACUAUACGAGACGAUAGACCAUUUUGGAGUAAAUUUCAUAGCAACGAACUAUCUGUUACUAAAACUAAUAUAAUUUGAAAGUAGGGAUAUCAAAAUAUGUAAAAAGCCCAAUAUCUGCUGAAUGAAUCCUAAAAAUGCGUAGUUUGAACAUGUCAAAGUGUUGAACACGUGAAUUUUUGAAAACUGUAUCGAGCCACCUUAAUAAUGAGUACAGACGAGGAAGCUAAAGUUGGAUUACCUUUUUUGGUACACCCUGUAUAGCACUUCUUCACACAAAAAUAAUUUGGUUAAGAUAAAUGCCUUCAGGCAUUCAUCACAAAUUUCAACGCCAGACAAUGAUUUAUGGAUGAAAGCAAAUCUUGCAUAAACCGUAACUGUUUUUUUAAACAUAAAUCAUAUGCAGGCGACAAAAUCUAACUAAAAAUGCCAGCGUGAAAUGCUUAAUAGUUCUGACGGCUGGUUGUAUAAAAGACAUACUUUAACUACCCGUUUUGUGGUUAAAUAGUAGUUAACUCUGAAAUACGCGAAUGUGAUUGGUUAACUUUUACACUAACUAUAGUUUAACUACAUUUUUUAUACAACCGGCCCCUGUACAAAUGCACAUUAACUUAAAUUUGGCAAUUAUUAAUUCAUUUACUAUUCAUAAUGUGAAUACAGGUCGAUGAAUUUAGUAAAAUACCGACAAAUUUUACUACACUUUUCAGCAUGCAGAGCUGAAAACUUCAGCGAGUACUUGAUGAUGCAAUUUCCCACUUGUAUUGAAAGACUGAAAAAACAGUUUUCAAAUUGAGGUGUUACACGCAAUUUUAAAGAAAAAUAUUAAAUGAAACUAAAGUCCCGUUUGAUAAUGACCAUUUGACAUAGCGGAUUACAUAUAAUAUAAAUUAAUGAAGGUGUGACAUUGCGAAGGUAGUUGCAAGAAAGUAUAUUACGAAAUUGUACGGAAAAAUAUAACUAAUUUUCUAAUUCUACUGGGUGUCCUCCAAAAAACUGGACACUGUUUGAUUUCAUGUAACGUAAAAGCUAUAAAAGCUAUCGAAAUGAAAUAAAGAUAAUUACAUCCUAACUUAGAUUUUGAUAUAUAGCACUUGAAUUUACAUGCAAUAUUGGCUGCGCUACUGAUGUUUGAACGUUGAACUACUGUUUUUGAAAAUGCCAAAAAUUAGCAUAAAACAACCUUAUAAUUACCGGUGUAGUUAUACUUGUUAAAUAAUAAAUAUUUUGAUUGUUUUUCGCUCAAUAUUGCAUGUAAAUUCAAGUGUUAUGUAUAUCACAAUCUAAGUUAGUCCUUUCUGAAUGCAAUGAUCUUUAUUUCAUUGCGAUAGCUUUUAUAGCUUUUACGUUACAUGAAAUCAAGCAGUGUCCAUGCAGGUUUUUUGGGACACCUGGUAGGCUUAUCUGGGAGGAGGCUGCGGUGUCAAAUAACUAGGGAUCCAAGGAUAGUGCAAUGUUUCUGAAAACUUGAAAAGUCAUUACGGUAAUAUCAAAUCUUUCAAACAUAUUGUUCAUAGUUUUGCAAUUCAUUUGUCCAAAUGAUUAGUUUUGUCGAUAUCCCUGUAUAUUAUUUUGUAGCAUCUCAAUUUAUUUAAUAUACAGAACGCAGACAAAAUUAUACUUACGAUAAGAUUAGGCCGAUA